CCCUCUGGCGUUUAGUUAUAGUUUCUAGUCGGACUCAUUUCAGUGACGGACCUGUUAGAGCAAUAGCGCAGAAAUCAGUCACGAGUUUGCUUCAUUACACAGCUUGGUCAAAUAUGUGUCUUCUUACAGACUUAAAUGGAGAAAAGAUUAAGAAAUAAAACUGAGGAAGAAAAAAAAA